rnacentral:rRNA from 1 species
GACGAACGCUGGCGGCGUGCUUAACACAUGCAAGUCGAACGGAAAGGCCCUGCUUUUGUGGGGUGCUCGAGUGGCGAACGGGUGAGUAACACGUGAGUAACCUGCCCUUGACUUUGGGAUAACUUCAGGAAACUGGGGCUAAUACCGGAUAGGAGCUCCUGCUGCAUGGUGGGGGUUGGAAAGUUUCGGCGGUUGGGGAUGGACUCGCGGCUUAUCAGCUUGUUGGUGGGGUAGUGGCUUACCAAGGCUUUGACGGGUAGCCGGCCUGAGAGGGUGAACGGCCACAAGGGGACUGAGAUACGGCCCAGACUCCUACGGGGGGCAGCAGUGGGGAAUAUUGCACAAUGGGCGGGAGCCUGAUGCAGCAACGCCGCGUGCGGGAUGACGGCCUUCGGGUUGAAAAACGCUUUCGCCUGUGACGAAGCGUGAGUGACGGUAAUGGGUAAAGAAGCACCGGCUAACUACGUG